AGCAAAAACAUUUAAGAUUAUGCAAUGUAUGACACUACAACUGGAACAUCAGGACAGUCUUCUGAAUAGCAUAUCUCACUGUAGUACAAGUUAUCAACCCUGGCUUACUUCUACCGUAUGUGGAAUGUAAUCAACCUUCAGGUAAGCUACUAUUGCUAGUUGCCUCAGGUUACUUUAGUCCAUGAGCUGUGGAUCAUUUGUGGUUGCUUUGAACUUUGUGCUGUGUAUCACCUCUGAUCACUUUGAAUCUGUUAAGAGUUCAUUGCAUAUCCAGCUGCAUUAUGUGUCUAUCUUGAGAACCUGACUAAAUCCUGGCUGGACCAGCAGACUUGGUCCUAUAAUUUGAAAUAAGAAUAUCUGUGCAGUUACAUUUCUUUUAUAUCUGAUCUCAGAACACCUUAUUGCUGUCUACUGCUGCUAUUCUGAAGUCCUGAACACCACACAACAUCAUGACUAAAUCAAAAGUGAUUGGGUCCAUCUACUAGACAAACAGUAUGGACAGAAUUCUUAGAUUGCGGAAACCCUGCCUUCACCAAAUAACCUGGUUGAGAGAUCAGUUUACCACAAUGUUACAGAAGACCACAAUAUCCAGUACACACUGCAAUGGACCGUACAACUUUGCACUGCAAAAUAUGUAAAAUAUCAUUUUAAUAAACAAAAAGUUAUGUGAUCAUAAUCCUUGACACUGUAAAAACAAAAAAAAAAUAAAAAGUUAUAUUAAGUAACAAACAUA